AUUGUCAUUCAUGGUUUGUUGAAAGAGUAAUUGGAGAUUGAGUUGUAUGCAUAUGUUCAUGUGUGGAUAAGGAAUCCUCUAACUAGCUUCUCACCAUUCUAUUUAAUCACAAUCUGUUUUGCUUUACAUUUGUUUUUAAAGUUUGAGUUUUAAAGUUUUAAUUUCGUCAAAAUCAUUCCCCCAUUUAUUUUAAAGUGUUAGAUUAGUUAGAAAUCCAUUUAGUUGUGUUUAAGUGUUUUGAGUUAAGUCAUAGUCCAAAUUCGUCCAAACUAGUGUUAGGUACUCAAAACUGCCCAGAAAGUGGUUUU
rnacentral:lncRNA from 1 species